rnacentral:rRNA from 1 species
CACGUAGGGUGCGAGCGUUGUCCGGAAUUAUUGGGCGUAAAGAGUUCGUAGGCGGUGUGUCGCGUCGGCCGUGAAAACCUGCAGCUUAACUGUGGGCUUGCGGUCGAUACGGGCAUCACUGGAGUUCGGCAGGGGAGACUGGAAUUCCUGGUGUAGCGGUGAAAUGCGCAGAUAUCAGGAGGAACACCGGUGGCGAAGGCGGGUCUCUGGGCCGAUACUGACGCUGAGGAGCGAAAGCGUGGGGAGCGAACAGG